AACGAACGCUGACGGCGUGCCUAACACAUGCAAGUCGAACGGGAUUCGGAGCUUGCUCCGAUGAGAGUGGCGCACGGGUGAGUAACGCGUAGAUAAUCUGCCCGAUGAUCUGGGAUAACAGUUCGAAAGGACUGCUAAUACCGGAUAAGCCCACGGAGACCUUGGUCUUUGCGGGAAAAGGGGGGGACCUUCGGGCCUUCCGUCAUCAGAUGAGUCUGCGUACCAUUAGCUAGUUGGUAGGGUAAAGGCCUACCAAGGCGACGAUGGUUAGCUGGUCUGAGAGGAUGAUCAGCCACACUGGAACUGAGACACGGUCCAGACUCCUACGGGAGGCAGCAGUGGGGAAUUUUGCGCAAUGGGGGAAACCCUGACGCAGCAACGCCGCGUGAGUGAUGAAGGCUCUUGGGUCGUAAAGCUCUGACAGAGGGAAAGAAGUGUAUGGUGGUUAAUACCCAUUGUACUUGACGGUACCCUCAAAGGAAGCACCGGCUAACUCCGUGCCAGCAGCCGCCGUAAUAC
rnacentral:rRNA from 1 species